GGAGAGGUGCCAGAGCGGUCGAAUGGGACGGUCUUGAAAACCGUUGUGCCCGAGAGGGUACCGUGGGUUCGAAUCCCACCCUCUCCGCCA
rnacentral:tRNA from 1 species